rnacentral:rRNA from 1 species
UACGUAGGGGGCAAGCGUUGUCCGGAUUUAUUGGGCGUAAAGAGCGUGUAGGCGGCUUCACAGGUCCGCUGUGAAAACUCGAGGCUCAACCUCGAGCUGUCGGUGGAAACCGUGUGGCUAGAGUCCGGAAGAGGAGAGUGGAAUUCCCGGUGUAGCGGUGAAAUGCGCAGAUAUCGGGAAGAACACCCGUGGCGAAGGCGGCUCUCUGGGACGGUACUGACGCUGAGACGCGAAAGCGUGGGGAGUGAACAGG